CCGCAGCCUGACUGCGGCAAGCAGGGGCGGGGCGCUCACGGGGCCUCUGUGACUCGCCGCGCAGUGGCGCUGUGCCCUGCCGGGUGCGGGCGAGGGGCGGGGCGGCCUACACAAGUGGGGCCGGACGGGCGGGGGCGGUCGCUUAUGCCCCAGGCCAGGACGCGAAAUUGACUCCAGAAGGGGUGGUCUCUGCCGACAACCUUGGGCCGCUUCGCUACGAGCUAGGGUCCCGGACGGGGCCGUUUUGUCCUCUGUGUCAGUUGCUUCGCCCGGUGAAAAAGUUUCCACCUGAGAUUUUGGGGCACCUCGAUCAUUUGUAGUCCUGAGCCACAUCCAGAAUGGAAAUUGUGUAAUUUAAGCUCAGCAGGCUGCCUGCUGAGCAAAGAUUCCCGACUUGGGACUCUAGCUCAGGACCCUGGGAUCAUGACCUGAGCUGAAGGCAGCGGCUUAAUUGACUGAGACAGCCAGGCAUCUCUUUACCAUCUAUUUAAAUACAGAAAGCAGCAGAGGAUGUGCUGCUUCCAAACUACAAAGAAAAUCAAGAAAAAGGAAACCAGAGAAAUGAGAAAACAGGAGAGUCAA